GAAAAACAAUAUUUAAACAAAAUACCCUCAAGACCUUUAGAGGGUUAUUAUAAAUGACAUUUUCUGAAAGCAGAACAUGAAAUCUGUUAUUCACAUGUUAUAUAGACUUAUAUAUACAUCUUUACUACUUCUUCACUAACAGACUAUAAUACAUCAGCCAUGGGCAUUAAGUAUUCGGUAGGCAGCCAAGACUUUUGUAGAUUUUAAAGUACAUUUAC
rnacentral:lncRNA from 1 species